rnacentral:rRNA from 1 species
GAUGAACGCUGGCGGCGUGCCUAAUAAAUGCAAGUCGAGCGAACGGCCGAGAAGUUUGCUUCUCGGUUGUUACCGGCGGACGGGUGAGUAAAACGUGGUUAACCUCCCUUUAGGAUUGGGAUAACUCGGGGAAACGGGGGCUAAUCCGGGUUAUUUUUUUGAACCGCAUGGUUCAAAAGUGAAAGACGUUCUUGCUGUACCUAUUGAUUGAUCCGCGCUGCAUUAGCUAGUUGGUAAGGUAACGGCUUACCAAGGCAACGAUGCAUAGCCGACCUGAGAGGGUGAUCGGCCACACUGGAACUGAGACACGGUCCAGACUCCUACGGGAGGCAGCAGUAGGGAAUCUUCCGCAAUGGGCGAAAGCCUGACGGAGCAACGCCGCGUGAGUGAUGAAGGUCUUCGGAUCGUAAAACUCUGUUAUUAGGGAAGAACAUAUGUGUAAGUAACUGUGCACAUCUUGACGGUACCUAAUCAGAAAGCCACGGCUAACUACGUG